AUACGGAGGAUGCGAGCGUUAUCCGGAUUUAUUGGGUUUAAAGGGUGCGUAGGCUGUGCGUUAAGUCAGGGGUGAAAUGCCGUCGCUCAACGACGGAGCUGCCCUUGAUACUGGCGUGCUGGAGUACGGAUGCCGUUGGAGGAAUGAGUGGUGUAGCGGUGAAAUGCUUAGAUAUCACUCAGAACACCGAUUGCGAAGGCAUCUGACGAAACCGUCACUGACGCUGAGGCACGAAAGCGUGGGGAUAGAACAGGAUUAGAUACCCUGGUAUUCCACGCCGUAAACGAUGAUGACUAACCGUCGGCGAUAGACAGCCGGUGGCCAAGCGAAAGCGAUAAGUCAUCCACCUGGGGAGUACGUCGGCAACGAUGAAACUCAAAUGAAUUGACGGGG
rnacentral:rRNA from 1 species